rnacentral:misc_RNA from 1 species
AUCUUACAAUUACUUUUUUAAGUAAUAAAAAAAUUUUUUGUUUCAAAGUGUGGGUUUUAAAUACGUGCGCGAAAGAAAAUUUUUCCUUUCGCGCGGAAUGUUGAUAAUGAUCCUUCCGCAGGUUCACCUACGGAAA